rnacentral:rRNA from 1 species
CUACGGGUUGCUCCAGUGAGGAAUAUUGCACAAUGGGGGGAACCCUGAUGCAGCAACGCCGCGUGGAGGAUGACGCAUUUCGGUGUGUAAACUCCUUUUAUAUGUCAAGAAAAUGACGGUAGCAUAUGAAUAAGCACCGGCUAACUCCGUGCCAGCAGCCGCGGUAGUACGGAGGGUGCAAGCGUUACUCGGAAUCACUGGGCGUAAAGGACGCGUAGGCGGGUUGGAAAGUCAGGUGUGAAAUCCUACAGCUUAACUGUAGAACUGCACUUGAAACUUCUAAUCUAGAGUAUGGGAGGGGGAGAUGGAAUCAGUGGGGUAGGGGUAAAAUCCGUAGAUAUCACUAGGAAUACCUAAAGCGAAGGCGAUCUCCUGGAGCAUUACUGACGCUAAGGCGUGAAAGCGUGGGGAGCAAACAGGAUUAGAUACCCUAGUAGUC